rnacentral:rRNA from 1 species
GCUUACGGCCAUACCACCGUGUCUGCGCCUGAUCUUGUUUGAUCUCGGAAGCUAAGCAGGGUCGGGCCUAGUUAGUACUUGGAUGGGAAACCGCCUGGGAAUAUCAGGUGCUGUAAGCU